rnacentral:rRNA from 1 species
GAUGAACGCUGGCGGCGUGCCUAAUACAUGCAAGUAGAACGCUGAAGCUUGGUGCUUGCACCGAGCGGAUGAGUUGCGAACGGGUGAGUAACGCGUAGGUAACCUGCCUCUUAGCGGGGGAUAACUAUUGGAAACGAUAGCUAAUACCGCAUAAAAGUCGAUAUCGCAUGAUAUUGAUUUGAAAGGUGCAAAUGCAUCACUAAGAGAUGGACCUGCGUUGUAUUAGCUAGUUGGUGAGGUAACGGCUCACCAAGGCGACGAUACAUAGCCGACCUGAGAGGGUGAUCGGCCACACUGGGACUGAGACACGGCCCAGACUCCUACGGGAGGCAGCAGUAGGGAAUCUUCGGCAAUGGGGGCAACCCUGACCGAGCAACGCCGCGGGAGUGAAGAAGGUUUUCGGAUCGUAAAGCUCUGUUGUAAGAGAAGAACGAGUGUGAGAGUGGAAAGUUCACACUGUGACGGUAACUUACCAGAAAGGGACGGCUAACUACGUG